AUUGAACGCUGGCGGCAGGCCUAACACAUGCAAGUCGAGCGGAUGAAGGGAGCUUGCUCCUGGAUUCAGCGGCGGACGGGUGAGUAAUGCCUAGGAAUCUGCCUGGUAGUGGGGGGUAACGACCGGAAACGGGCGCUAAUACCGCAUACGUCCUGAGGGAGCAAGAGGGGGAUCUUCGGACCUCACGCUAUCAGAUGAGCCUAGGUCGGAUUAGCUAGUUGGUGGGGUAAAGGCCUACCAAGGCGACGAUCCGUAACUGGUCUGCGAGGAUGAUAAGUCACACUGGAACUGAGACACGGUCCAGACUCCUACGGGAGGCAGCAGUGGGGAAUAUUGGACAAUGGGCGAAAGCCUGAUCCAGCCAUGCCGCGUGUGUGGAGAAGGUCUUCGGAUUGUAAAGCACUUUAAGUGGGGAGGAAGGGCAGUAAGUUAAUACCUUGCUGUUGUGACGUUACCAACAGAAUAAGCACCGGCUAACUUCGUG
rnacentral:rRNA from 1 species